rnacentral:rRNA from 1 species
UACGAAGGGGGCUAGCGUUGCUCGGAAUCACUGGGCGUAAAGCGCACGUAGGCGGACUUUAAGUCGGUGGUGAAAUCCUGGAGCUCAACUCCAGAACUGCCUUCGAUACUGAGAGUCUUGAGUCCGGGAGAGGUGAGUGGAACUGCGAGUGUAGAGGUGAAAUUCGUAGAUAUUCGCAAGAACACCAGUGGCGAAGGCGGCUCACUGGCCCGGUACUGACGCUGAGGUGCGAAAGCUAGGGUAGCAAACGGG